rnacentral:rRNA from 1 species
UACGUAGGGGGCAAGCGUUGUCCGGAAUCAUUGGGCGUAAAGAGCGUGUAGGCGGCCAGAUAAGUCCGCUGUGAAAUCUCGAGGCUCAACCCUGGGAUGCCGGUGGAUACUGUCGGGCUCGAGUCCGGAAGAGGAGUGUGGAAUUCCUGGUGUAGCGGUGAAAUGCGCAGAUAUCAGGAGGAACACCAAUGGCGAAGGCAGCACUCUGGGACGUGACUGACGCUGAGACGCGAAAGCGUGGGGAGCAAACAGG